ACUGCGGUGGUGUAAUGGUCAGCAUAUCAGCCUAGUAAGCGAGAAGACCUGGGUUCGAGUCCCAGCUGCAGCA